UACAGAGGUCCCGAGCGUUGUUCGGAUUCAUUGGGCGUAAAGGGUGCGUAGGCGGCUGGCUAAGUCUGAUGUGAAAUCCCGGGGCUCAACCCCGGAACUGCAUUGGAUACUGGCCAGCUUGAGUACUGGAGAGGAGACUGGAAUUUACGGUGUAGCAGUGAAAUGCGUAGAGAUCGUAAGGAAGGCCAGUGGCGAAGGCGAGUCUCUGGACAGUAACUGACGCUGAGGCACGAAGGCCAGGGGAGCAAACGGG
rnacentral:rRNA from 1 species